AUGUGCGGCGCACUGUACCCCGGCGUUGACUGCGGGCACGUUUCCAAGCUCCCCGGCCCGGUCCGGUCAUACCGCGGGCUCCAUCGCGCAUCCGCAUCUUCGCAUCUCCUUCCCUUUCCUUCCCAUCCCCUCCCCAUCCCCACACCGCAGGGGCCACCGCUGCCAACCUACGACCCAGACCCGCCACCCAUCCCACAACGUCGGAGGAGACAAAUCACCAGACAAGACUCUCGCCGAUUCCUAAACCGGCGCCAGGAUUUCAUUCCGAUCCCUCCUCGCCCAUUUCCGUCCCCGCCCGGCCGAUCCACCCCGGCCCACCGCUGCCCGCGCCCCCGCCCGCCGGAUCACGCGCUUCUUGCGACGGUGCAGAUCCAAGAAACGCACUCCUCCCUCCCUCCCUCCGGACAAGGCCGUGUCCGACGACGCGCCCGAGAAAAUCGGUCAGGCGGACAGGCACUCGGGCGCCAGGCGCGAGGCGAGGGCCGAGCUUGA
rnacentral:rRNA from 1 species